rnacentral:lncRNA from 1 species
UUCUCUCUCCCGUCGACUCUCUCUCCCUCUUCUUGCUGCUCGUGCCAUGGCUGUGCGAAGACCAGAGCAUUCGAAGCAGCAGGUCCUCUCGCCGCCGUCGUCGCUCACCGAGGUCGGAAUCGUCGCCGCCGUCCACCGUCCUGCUGCCCUCGCGCAGCUCCGCCCCACCCUCUCUCUCUCCUUCCUCUGGUUCGAGCAAACCCGACCAGCAGAAGCAGAAGCAGCAACUGGCGACGUUUGAAGGAGCUGCAGCCACGCCGGAGCUGCCGUCGCCGUCGUGCCGUCGUGCCAGAGCACCGUCGCCGCCGUUCGCCUCACGCUCGCCCGCCGUACGCCGUCUGCCCCCCUGUCCGAUCGAGCUGCCGUCCAGAUCCUGCCGCCUCUGUUCAGCGUUGUUCGGCCACCUCAGGCCGCCGUUCAGCUCCGUCCGGCCACCGUUCGACCUCACCGGAGCUCCGCCUGGCCCUAGCCACUCUUGCCUCGCCAUCUCAGCCCCAAAUCCGCCCUCAACCAGCAGCAAGCAGUGAGUAGGAAAUGGGUAUGGCAGCAGCUUUUUGGCCCGUUUUGGCUGGCUUCCCGAGCCCGAAUGCUCGGCCCGCCUUGAGGAAAGUCGAUCCUCGCGUCGAUCCGGUCGUUUUGGUCUGAGCGGCUCGUAAAUUGAGUGAGUUUACUCAUUAAUGCAUUCUUAGUUUGCUAAUUAUACUUAAAGGUUGAUUAGUGUUAGUUUAGUAUAAUUAGGUAGUUAAAUUAGAAUGGAUUAACAAUUAUUAGUUAAUUGCAUUACAUGUUUGUUAGGUGGUUAGUGUAUUUAGAUAGAGAAUUGCAUAUAGUAUUUAUUGGAUACUUCUUGGGAUUUUUUCUGACCCUUAUCGGGUGUUAAUUAGGCAAUUCGGGCCUAAAUGGAAUUUUUAGUAAUUAAAUAUUAAUUAUCAAAAUUAAUUAUUUAAUUAUUUCUUUUCUGGAAAUUCAACUGGGAUGGUCAGUGACUGGGAUUUUAUGCUAAUGAUCGUGGUGCAAUCCGUUUAGUUAACUGAGCUUUAUAUUGUGCUAAAUUGAAAUUAUUGUGUUUAUUUAUUUAAUUUUUGAAAUUAAUUAUUUAAUUAUUUAUUUUUUGGAAAUUCAACUGGGAUGGCCGGUGACCGUAAUUUCGUGCUGAUUGUCGUGGAUUAUUUCUAUCAAGCUUUCAAGGAAAAGAAAUAAGAUAUGUUUUUGCUUGAUUAUACUGCUUAACUUGUCUCUUCCCUAACAAUGAAUUUUUUUUCAUUAGUAGAUGCUUCGUUUUAUUUCAGAUCAAAUUCAUGACUGAGGUGGUUCUGGAACAGUACACUGAUGAUGUCCACAAAUGGAAAAAAAAUGUCUUCCAUCAAAUGGAGCAAAAAUUGGAAAAAAAAGUUGACCAUGUUCUUGAAUUGGAACAAAGUCAAUCUGGUUGAACGGAGGAAAGAAAGGAAAUUAGAAUUGAUGGGUAACCACCGCAUUGAUGCACAACAGCCCUUUGUUUUGACAAUAUAGUAAGAAGCCUCCAUAUUCAUCGCCAGCAUGAGCUUGAUAAUCUCUCUAAGAAAGAACCUGACUUACAUACAUGUAACAAAGCAGAGUCGGUAGUGGAACGAGUCCCAAAACUAGAAUCAAGAAAGCUCACAAAUUGCUCUCGCCUCACCAUAUGAGGCUACGAAACAUUGACCUCCAAAAAUAGAGACA